GUCGGGCGCAGUGUCACGUGUCUGUAGUCCCAGCUACUCAAGACGCUGAGACUGGAGGAUCGCUUGAGUCCAGGAGUUCGGGGCUGUAGUGUGCUAUGCCUAUUGGGUGUCCGCACUAAGUUCAGCAUCAAUAUGGUGACCUCCCGGGAGUGGGGGACCACGAGGUUGCCUAAGGAGGGGUGAACCGACCCGGGUUGGAAAUGGAGGUCAAAACUCCUGUGCUGAUCAGUAGUGGGAUUGCGCUUGUGAAUGGCCACUGCACUCCAGCCUGGACAACAUAGCAAGACCCUGUCUAU
rnacentral:SRP_RNA from 1 species